AUAUCAUGGUGUGGACACUUUUUUAGAAGAUCAUUAUAUCUUUCCUAUGCAUCAUGGAACUAUUCUCACGGGAUUUGGGAAAAUGCCAUGAUUUCUUUUCUCAUUU